GAUGAACGCUGGCGGCGUGCCUAACACAUGCAAGUCGAGCGAUGAAACUUCUUCGGAAGUGGAUUAGCGGCGGACGGGUGAGUAACACGUGGGUAACCUGCCUCAUAGUGGGGGAUAGCCUUUCGAAAGGAAGAUUAAUACCCUAUAAGAUUGUAGCUUCGAAUGAAGUAGCAAUAAAAGGAGCAGUCCGCUAUGAGAUGGACCAGCGUUGCAUUAGCUAGUUGGUAAGGUAAUGGCUUACCAAGGCGACGAUGCGUAGCCGACCUGAGAGGGUGAUCGGCCACAUUGGGACUGAGACACGGCCCAGACUCCUACGGGAGGCAGCAGUGGGGAAUAUUGCACAAUGGGGGAAACCCUGAUGCAGCAACGCCGCGUGAGUGAUGACGGUCUUCGGAUUGUAUAACUCUGUCUUUGGGGACGAUAAUGACGGUACCCAAGGAGGAAGCCACGGCUAACUACGUGCCAGCCGCCGCCGUAA
rnacentral:rRNA from 1 species